CCAACUAUAAUGAAAAUGUUCGGAUGAUAAAUUACCUUAAGAAAAAAAAAGUACGAAUUAUCCCCCUGAACUAUUUAGGUCGUCUGAAUUACCCCCUUAGACUUUAAAACUAGACAUUUGACACCCUCAACUACUAAAACUAGACAAAUAACCCCCCUAACCCAAUCUGGAGUGGUUUUGAUCCUACGUGGCAUACGCGUGACAGUCCAGUCAGCAAUUCUUUAAAAAAGUUCGGUGGGCCCACUUGUCAUAUCUAUCCCUCACCUCUAUCCUCUUGUCUUUCUCAAUCCGUAUCCCUCUCUAUCUCUUCUCUUGAAUUCCUCUCCUCGCUAAAGCAUGCGACAGCGGCCGACCGUCGAGCUUGCCGGCCGGGCUUUCUCCUCCUCGGCACAACAAGCACACCACCAAGUCGCCACUCUCGAAGGCAGUUGCCGGAGACCGUCGUUGUUGAGGAGCCACGGUGAGGAGCUCGAUCCCCUUAUCACGCUCGCGAAUUGAGGAGAAGGUGUCGUGGCGGUUGCCGGUCGAGAGCUCGAAGGCGCCACGGCCUCGUCGUCGUCUCCACCUCCAUCUUGAUCUGCCUCCUUCGACGCUGCUAGGUCGGCCUCAUCCCUGGAAGCUGCACGGACGUCUUGUCGCCAACCUUCGCCGCUUCUCCCCGUCCCCCUGACCUCCACGACCUCCUAUGCAGGAAGUUGCAGAGCUCAUGCUCGAGGAGGCGGCCACCGACGUGGAUCUCCUUCUCGGCCACAUGCGUGGAUCUCCUCCUCGGCCACCGGCGCGGAUCUCCUCCUCGGCCACAGGCACCGAUUGAACUCCACCGCCGGCUCCCUGAGGGGACCAGCCUCCGUCGCCAUGUGCCUCCUAUGCGGCUGACGGACGCCACUUCCGGUCAACACGCCUUGGCCCUAUCUCUUCUGCCCUCUCUCUCUCUCUCUCCCCGCGCGCCGCCGUCCACCCGCCGCCGCCCACCGCCCGUUCGCAGCCACUUGCUCGAGCGCGUUCACGGGAGAGAGAGAGAGCGAGCGAGCGACCGGGUAGGAAGAGACAUGACAUGUGGGCCCAUGGAUUCUUUUUGCUGAUUGAAUUGCCACGUUAGUGCCAUGCGUGCAAGAUCAAGUCAAAACUGCUCAAAACAGUGUCGAGGGGGUAAUUCGUCCAGUAUUGAAAGUUUAGGGUAAGCAAUGUCUGGUUUUUGGGUUAGGAGGGUAAUAUGGUCGACCGUAAUAAUUAAGGAGGGUAAUUCGUACUUUUUUCAAGUUUAAGUUUAGCAUACAACGUUUGGAACUCAAGUACAUACAAACUCAAGUACAUGCAACGGUUAAUUGCACAUUGGCAAGAAUGGGAGUUCCUGAAAACAAGUUUGGAACUCAACAAACAUAUAUUUAAUUAGAGUCAGGAAAAAAAUACACUCAAACAUACACUGUAAUUUCAAUAAAUGUUGUAAGUGCUUUUACGUAACAAUCUAACGCAUACGCCCUCCGUCCCAUUUUCCGUUUUAUUUAAAAAAUUUUAAAAACGUAAGUCACGAGUAUAGCACUAUUUAUGUUUUAUCAUCUUAUAACAACAAAGAUAUUAAUUAUAAAAAAAUUCAAAUAAAACGGACGAUCAAAGUUGGACGCGGAAACUCAUGGUUGCACUCAAAAUGGGAUGGAGAGAGUAUUUUUCUUUGCUCCCCAGCAAAUCCUUUGCUUCAUGCACAAGCAAAGGAGAAGGAUGUUUAGGGUUGUGUUUGGCACUCCCUUUUCCCCAUAUCUACUUUCUCAUUUUUCAUGUGCACACUUCCUAAACUACUAAACAAUGCAUUUUAAAAAAAUUAUACCUAAAGAAUUCGGAACAAAAUAGAUGUAGUACUUAAUUAUGUACUAACGAAUCAAUUCAUGCUAGGGAGAAAGGUUCCGAAUCCUUUUACCCGAACGUAGGAACUUUAACC
rnacentral:lncRNA from 1 species